UCCUACGGGGGGCAGCAAUCAGGAAUCUUGCACAAUGAGCGAAAGCUAGAUGCAGCGAUGCCGCGUGGGCGAGGAAGUCCUUCGGGAUGUAAAGCCCUUUUGGAGGGGACGAUGAUGACGGUACCCUCCGAAGAAGCCCCGGCUAACUACGUGCCAGCAGCCGCGGUAAUACGUAGGGGGCGAGCGUUGUCCGGAAUUACUGGGCGUAAAGGGCGCGUAGGCGGCCCGCUAAGUCCGCUGUGAAAGCCCGAGGCUCAACCUCGGAGGGUCAGCGGAGACUGGCGGGCUGGGGUGUCGGAGAGGAGCAUGGAAUCCCUGGUGUAGCGGUGGAAUGCGUAGAGAUCAGGGGGAACACCGAUGGCGAAGGCAGUGCUCUGGCCGACGACCGACGCUGAGGCGCGAAAGCUGGGGGAGCGAACGGGAUUAGAUACCCUGGUAGG
rnacentral:rRNA from 1 species